rnacentral:rRNA from 1 species
UACAGAGGUCUCAAGCGUUGUUCGGAUUCAUUGGGCGUAAAGGGUGCGUAGGUGGCGUCGUAAGUCGGGUGUGAAAUUUCGGAGCUUAACUCCGAAACUGCAUUCGAUACUGCGGUGCUUGAGGACUGGAGAGGAGACUGGAAUUUACGGUGUAGCAGUGAAAUGCGUAGAGAUCGUAAGGAAGACCAGUGGCGAAGGCGGGUCUCUGGACAGUUCCUGACACUGAGGCACGAAGGCCAGGGGGAGCAAACGGGG